GCAAGUCGAGCGCUACCUUCGGAGUGAGCGGCGGACGGGUUAGUAACGCGUGGGAAUAUACCCGACACUAAGGAAUAGCCUCUGGAAACGGAGAGUAAUACCUUAUACGCCCUUCGGGGGAAAGAUUUAUCGGUGACGGAUUAGCCCGCGUUAGAUUAGAUAGUUGGUGGGGUAACGGCCUACCAAGUCGACGAUCUAUAGCUGGUUUGAGAGGAUGAUC
rnacentral:rRNA from 1 species